AUUGGGCUCUAUGUAGUGCGGGAGUUCUCAAACUGGGGUUUAGGUCCCGUCAAGGGGCCGCAAGGUUGUUAUCUGGGGGGUUGUGAAAUGUCAUCCUCCAUCCUAAACAUCACUUUGCUUCCAGCAUUUAUAAUGGUGUUGAAUAUACAAAAAGUGUUUUUAAUUUAUAAGGGGAGGGUCACACUCAGAAGCUUUCUAUGUAAAAGGGAUCAUCAGUACAAAAGGUUGAGAACCACUGGUGUAGUGAUAGUUCUUGCUUGCCUUUAUUAGUUUGCAGAGGAAUUGUCCAGGAGUCUCAGCUGGAGAAGAAGCUGGCAGAAGUGGACCUGAACUGCCUGGACAUCCUUCUAAGGAGACAUGAACAGUCCUCAGCUUUCUGCAUUCUGGAUAACUGGCUAUGAGUAAGAACAGUCACACAUCAGAGUCUACUGUCCUCAUGCGAUGGAAAGUGAGUGAGAGCAGCGAGCCUGUGAGCAUUGUUCAUGCCAGGCAACAGACGUCAAUGUGGGGGUCGAGCAGACGCCACUUUUGCAGAGGAAUCGUCCAGGAGCCCCAGCCGGAUGAGAAUGUCAGAAGUGGACCUGAGCAGCCUGGACAUCCUUCUAAGGAAACAAGAAUAGUCCUCAGGUUUCUGCCUUCUGCAUAACUGGCUUACCAAGAAAAAAGACGUCACAUGUCAAAGUCUACUGCCCUUAUGAGUGAGAGUGACGAGACUGAGAGCGUUGUUGGUGCCAGGCAGGAGCCGUCCAUCUGGGAGCAGAGCAUCUGCUACUAUCACUGAGAUAAGUAUCUGUUUUGGUGAGGGUUCUGCUCACGACCCACCUGGCUACAGGUAGAGACACCCCGUUAGGUGGAGUGGGUUUGUACGAAAAGGUUCCUGACUAGCUGUGGUUUUGAGGGAGACACGGUCCCCAUUUUCAGGGGCUGAUUUCUCUGGCCAGGAUCGGUGUGUCCUCGGCAGGAGAAGGUUAGAUCCAUGAGGGAUGACUCCAGGUGGUGAGUUGCUUGCCUUCCUCCUCUGUUUCUCUCUCUGUCUUCUCUACUCUACUGUGUUGGCCAACACACACUCUCUCUCUUUCUCUCUCUCUUGGCUGUCUCCCUUCAUAGGGCAUGGGCAGGAGUGCUAUGUGUGCAUCCCCUCAGGCUAGGUCUCGGGAGCUAUGAACAAGUAGGAGGGGACGAAAAUCAUGCAUCGUAGUGGGCGCUAGAGUGGAGGGGUGACUGUGGAUGUUGACUGUCUCUUUUCAAGUGGGCCUGAUGUAGAUAGGCAGGGAUGAGGGCAAGAUUACCUGCACCAGUUGAAUUUUGUGUAGUGAUGGCUCUUGCUUCGCUCAUUUCCUGUGCUUGCAGAGGAAUUGUCCAGGAGCUGCAGCUGAAGGAGAAAGUGGCAGACGCGGACCUGAGGAGCCUGGACAUCCUUCUAAGCAGACAUGAAUGGUCCUCAGAUUUCUGCCUCCCGCACAACUGGCUGAGAGUAAGCGGUCAGUGCUUGGAAUCCCUCAUCUGUACUGGCUCCGGUUUUGUUCAGAGGCUCUGAAUUUCUUCAUUGGACACAGUGCUCUGUGGGAUUCAGACGAGGCAAAGGCACAAGUCUCCUGUGCAGAUGCUGGGUUUAGUACCAAGUGGAGAAUCAGAGUCCACUCCGCACAUGCCAUGGAAAGGGAGCGAGAGCUGGGAGAUUCUAAGCAUUGUUGAUGCCAGGGAAGAGCCAUCCAGCUGGGAGUGGAGCAAGGACCACUGUCCGUGAGAUAAGUGUCUUGUUAGGUGAAGGCUCUGCUGUGGUUAGGAGGGAGACAAGGUCCCUAUUUUCAGGGGCUGCUCAGUCCUCUGGCCAGUAUCGGUGAGUCCUCUGCAGCGGAAGGUUGGAUCCAGGAGGAUGACUCCAGGUGACAAGUUGCUUGCCUGCCUUCCUCCCGUGUUUCUCAUUUUCUCGCUCUCUGUCUCUCUAGUGUGUUGGCCAAUGCGCUCUCUUAAUCUGUCCUUUCCUUUCCUUGUGCCAUCUCCCUUCUUAGGACACAGGCAGGCCUGUGAGGUGUGCAUCUCCACAGGUUAGGUCUUGAAAGCCCUGGAGUAGUAGGAGGGGACGAAAACCAUGCGGGGUAGUGGGUGUGAGAGUGGAGCAGUGACUGUCAGUGUUGAAUCGGUCUCUGUUCAAGUGGGGCUGAUGUAGAUGGGGUGGAAGAGGGAGGCAGGAUUGAGGGCAACAUUUUCAAGUACCAUUAGAGCUGUGUGUAGAGAUGGCGCAUGCUUGGCUUUUGCAGCUGCACUUCCAGAGGAAUUGUCCAGGAGCUCGAGCCAGAGGAGAAACUGGCAGAGGUGGAUCUGAGCAGCUUGGACAUGUUCUAACCAGACAGGAACAGCCUCAGCUUUCUGCCUUCUGAACAACUGGCUGUGAGUAAGAGUACCAAGGAAAAAUAAGUCACAUGUCAGUCUACUGCCCUCAUGCAAUGGAAAGUGAGUGAGAGCAGCGAGCCUGUGAGCAUUGUUCAUGCCAGGCAAGAGCCGUUCAUUUGGGAGCCAAGCAGAUGUCACUGUCAGUGAGAUAAGUGUCUGUUUUGCUGAGGGUUCUGUUAUCAGCCAAUCUGACUCCAGGUACAGACACCCUGUUAGCUGGGGCUGAUUUGUCAGAAGAGUUUCCUGACUAGCU